rnacentral:rRNA from 1 species
UACGAAGGGGGCUAGCGUUGUUCGGAAUCACUGGGCGUAAAGGGCGCGUAGGCGGCCGAUUAAGUCGGGGGGUGAAAUCCUGGAGCUCAACUCCAGAACUGCCUUCGAUACUGGCGAUCUCGAGUUCGGGAGAGGUGAGUGGAACUGCGAGUGUAGAGGUGAAAUUCGUAGAUAUUCGCAAGAGCACCAGUGGCGAAGGCGGCUCACUGGCCCGAUACUGACGCUGAGGUGCGAAAGCGUGGGGAGCAAACAGG